rnacentral:rRNA from 1 species
GAUGAACGCUGACAGAAUGCUUAACACAUGCAGGUCAACUUGAAUUUGGGUUUUUAACUUAGGUUUGGGUGGCGGACGGGUGAGUAACGCGUAAAGAACUUGCCUCACAGCUAGGGACAACAUUUGGAAACGAAUGCUAAUACCUAAUAUUAUGAUAAUAGGGCAUCCUAUAAUUAUGAAAGCUAUAAGCGCUGUGAGAGAGCUUUGCGUCCCAUUAGCUAGUUGGAGAGGUAACGGCUCACCAAGGCGAUGAUGGGUAGCCGGCCUGAGAGGGUGAUCGGCCACAAGGGGACUGAGACACGGCCCUUACUCCUACGGGAGGCAGCAGUGGGGAAUAUUGGACAAUGGACCGAGAGUCUGAUCCAGCAAUUCUGUGUGCACGAUGAAGUUUUUCGGAAUGUAAAGUGCUUUCAGUUGGGAAGAAACAAAUGACGGUACCAACAGAAGAAGUGACGGCUAAAUACGUG